UAGCAUAUCAAUAAGCGGAGGAAAAGAAACCAACCGGGAUUGCCUCAGUAACGGCGAGUGAAGCGGCAAGAGCUCAAAUUUGAAAUCUGGCCCCCUCGGGGUCCGAGUUGUAAUUUGCAGAGGAUGCUUCGGGUGCGGCCCCCGUCUAAGUGCCCUGGAACGGGCCGUCAUAGAGGGUGAGAAUCCCGUCUGGGACGGGGUGUCCGCGUCCGUGUGAAGCUCCUUCGACGAGUCGAGUUGUUUGGGAAUGCAGCUCUAAAUGGGUGGUAAAUUUCAUCUAAAGCUAAAUACUGGCCGGAGACCGAUAGCGCACAAGUAGAGUGAUCGAAAGAUGAAAAGCACUUUGAAAAGAGAGUUAAAAAGCACGUGAAAUUGUUGAAAGGGAAGCGCUUGCGACCAGACUCGCCCGCGGGGUUCAGCCGGCAUUCGUGCCGGUGUACUUCCCCGCGGGCGGGCCAGCGUCGGUUUGGGCGGCCGGUCAAAGGCCCCCGGAAUGUAGCACCCUUCGGGGUGCCUUAUAGCCGGGGGUGCAAUGCGGCCAGCCUGGACCGAGGAACGCGCUUCGGCACGGACGCUGGCAUAAUGGUCGUAAACGACCCGUCUUGAAACACGGACCAAGGAGUCUAACAUCUACGCGAGUGUUCGGGUGUCAAACCCGUGCGCGCAGUGAAAGCGAACGGAGGUGGGAGCCCCCCCCGCGGGGCGCACCAUCGACCGAUCCUGAUGUCUUCGGAUGGAUUUGAGUAAGAGCGUAAAUGUGGGGACCCGAAAGAUGGUGAACUAUGCCUGAAUAGGGCGAAGCCAGAGGAAACUCUGGUGGAGGCUCGCAGCGGUUCUGACGUGCAAAUCGAUCGUCAAAUUUGGGUAUAGGGGCGAAAGACUAAUCGAACCAUCUGGUAGCUGGUUCCUGCGA
rnacentral:rRNA from 1 species